rnacentral:rRNA from 1 species
UACGGAGGAUGCAAGCGUUAUCCGGAAUGAUUGGGCGUAAAGCGUCCGCAGGUGGCUAUGUAAGUCUGCUGUUAAAGAGUGAGGCUCAACCUCAUAAGAGCAGUGGAAACUACAUAGCUAGAGUGCGUUCGGGGCAGAGGGAAUUCCUGGUGUAGCGGUGAAAUGCGUAGAUAUCAGGAAGAACACCGGUGGCGAAAGCGCUCUGCUAGGCCGCAACUGACACUGAGGGACGAAAGCGUGGGGAGCGAACAGG